CAAUGAAAGACUUACAGAGAUCAGCAACAGUUAUUACAACAUUCAACGGCCCUCAAACUAUUUAUCUUCAAUUGCAAAAACGUGUUUUGCGAUUUAAAUGAGUCCCAUUUUUUAAUAUAUGGUCCUUUUAACUAUAUAACUAUGGGUCUCGCCAUUCGUGCUCUUCUAUUUCAACACGCUCAUUAAUACCAUUCAGAGACUAAAUUAUACAUAAACCAUAACGUCUAAGUGCGUGCGAAAUAAAACACAAAUUACCUACAUUUUAUUUUUAUUUAACCUUUAAUUACCCAAAUAAAAAUGAACGAUGUUUCUCUAGUUUAUAGUCUACUAAAAGGUAGGACUAAACACGAAAUAGACUAGAAGGAAACUAGGGAGGAGAAAACAUAUAUAGGAGAAAGAGCACAUUCCAAUACAAUACCAGAAACCUUCAUUUAAUACAUACUAUUCUUGGCUUUACGGCCAAAGUGGCAAUUUGAAAUCCUCUCGUUCUGGUUCCGGAGGGGCGGGACCGGCGAAGCGUUGUUAUUUCUAACGUCCAACGGGCCUUUGAGUUUGAAUCACUUUGCUAGUCCCAAAAUACCAAAGUGGACAUUUUGAGAACCAAAACUGUCUCUUCACUUCAGUCUGACACACACCGUCAACACAAACACGCUGACGUGUUCACAUCUCAGAUCUUUAAAACUCGCAAACAAAUGCAGCAAUAUCCUUCACAGAGCAGGGAUUUGUUUUUAGGUAUACUGGGGAACGGUCCACAAUUGACAACAUCCUGUCGGGCUGUAUCACCGCCUGGUACGGCAACUGCAACGCCCACAACCACAGGGCUCUCCAGAGGGUGGUGCGGUCUGCACAACGCAACACCGACGUCACAGGAAGGCAAAAAAGAUCAUCAAGGACAACAACCACCCGAGCCACUGCCUGUUCACCCCGCUACCAUCCAGAAGGAUACCUUCACCACCCGAUGUCACAGGAAGGCCAAAAAGAUCAUCAAGGACAACAACCACCCGAGCCACUGCCUGUUCACCCCGCUAUCAUCCAGAAGGAUCCAACAAGAGUGUUUUUGUUUGUUUGUUAUUUUAAAUACAGCUUACGUUCGAAGGCAUGGGCAACUAUUAUUUAACGCGUGACAAGGAUAUAGGCUAUAGGCCUACAAAACGUGUCUGUUUGUCAGUGCUGCUUGCCUUGAAUGAGUUCCUAUUCACUGGGAGUUAUUGUGCAAUUUUGCAGUAGGCAUCACAUGCAACACUAUAUGGUAUGGAUGGACACAUGUUGCAAAUCAGCUCAUACACUGUAAAACUUUACCCAGUAUAUUUACAGCAUUAUAAUGGCAGCAGAGUUGCCAGCUAAAUAUUGUAAUUUUGCUUUACAUUCGGGAUGCUGUAAAAUGUUUUACAAUAAGAAAAACAGUGAUGUAUUAUACAAUACAGCAUUAUACUGUAAAUUAGCCUACUGUAAUCAUUAGUGCAACACAGCUGUAUUAUAUAAUUACAGUAAUUUGCUGGCAACUCUGCUGCCAGUAUAAAGCUGUAAAUGUACAGCACAGCAUGUUGCUAAAAAUCAGUAUUACAUUACUAAUUGUCUUGCUGUAAUAUUUGUACAUAAUUGUAAUGAAUAAAUGAAUGGAUUAAUUAAUUAACUCAAUUCAUUGAGGGGAGGCAGGGUUUGUAUUUUACAGUAUUUUACUGUAAUUGCAUGUGAUUGGUGCAAGCAGGUUGGCUGACAGGUCAAUUCUUUUCAUAUUACAGCAAAUCAAAUAUAUUUGAAUAUCACUUUGCACUUCUAGAGGCCUUGUGAAACUAAAACUUGAAAUUGAAAAACAGACCAAAGGACAACACAGACUUUCAACUGAAAUUAUUUGUUUGAAAGAUGUUAAAUAAAAGUGACUUUUGUCAAUCAUUAACUUUUCCCAUCACUUUAAAAAAGCAAAGAAAAAAGGGAAGUAUUGCAGUAAAAAAAUGUUUGUUGUUGAAAUUGUAAUAAUUAAAUAAAAACUCUUAGUAUCAGGGGCCAAUGAGACAAUAUGGCGCUGCUCCUAUAUGUAUUAAUAUGUAUGCAUUUAUUCAGACUAUAUUGCUUUGUCUUGCUUCAUUCUAUUGUUAAUGUUAUACUUUAUGCCAUUUGUCACUAUCAAUUAAACAGUUUACUGCAAGUCAUAUUGUUACAGUAUAUAGGCCUACAGUUGCAAAUGUGCUGGGAAGGGGAGGAGUGAAAUGGGUGAGUAUCACGGGGUCUGACGGGGGGCGGGACAUCUGCCCUGAUUUGACCUAAUGAAUGGGAAAAUGUACAUUGAUUGACACUUUCCGUUGGGUUGCUCUACCCUCCCAUCAGUAAAAGUAAUGUCUAUUUUUUUUUAUUUUUUUUUGUCGAACGGAUUCAUUUUGCUUUCCUUAUUUAGAUGGAAAAUAUAAAUAUAUUCGUUUCUUUUAUAGUUUUUAAUAAAAUGCAUUUAGAAUCCAUGUUUAAUCAAAUGUGUCGGUUUGUUUCCUGUCUGAUACAUUCCUCACAAUGUACAAUAGGCUAAUAGAGAAUUUCCAAGUGACAAGCAAGUAGGAAUAUUUAUUGUAAAUUACUAAAUUAUAAUAGUUCAUAAAGCCACUGUUUUAUUUUGUGUAGCUUAUAGUCUUGCAAUUUGUAAACUAUUUGUAAACUAUUUAGGAAGAUAUUACAAUUUGUAAAUUGAUUGUGAAGGCCAUAGGCUUGGUAUAAUUUCAACAACAACAACAAAAUCAUAAUUUUCCAAUCAACAAAAUUGUAAAUAAUUGUCUAUCAUUAGAAGCAGAAUUUGGAACAACUGCUGGCAGUGAAUUGGCCAUUUAAGUUCAAGGUAGGUUUCAUUGUGAUGGCCUAUAGCUAAUACUAAUGGCAGUAUAGACUACAAAGUACAACGUAUAGGGGCCAUAUGAUCAACUGAAUUUGUAACAUUUUGUUAUUCUGUAACGUUUACAUUGUCUACAGAGAAAGAUAUGCAACAGACGUUGAUCCAACGCCACCCCUACAGACUUUCUCUGGCCCUCAUGUCACAUUGGCCCUUAAACCGACGGGGUCUGUACUCUGUAUGCCUCAGCUAUCAACAGAACGGCCCUGCAUGGUUGGAGCCUGUUCAAUGUAUAGGCCUAUCAGUCAACGGUUUCUAAGUUAAAACCCCCUACCCAGAGUACUCGAGGUCCAGGGUUAGACAGACAUGCAGCAUCACUUUCCUGAAGACAUUGCUCUCGUUCCACUCUAAUUUAGUGUAGUUCCCUAAAGCUUUAAUGCAUUUUUUUUUGUGGGUAAAAAACCCCACCUCAACAAUGUUGAUAACAAGGCGCCAGCCAACGUGUCACAUUGUUCCUCUAAGCCAAUCAGAAACGAAAGGAUUCAGAGGGAAAAGUUCUAUACAUCCGUAUCCCCACCUCUUACUUAGCCACAUGACCAGACAUGAACAACGACGGAGAC
rnacentral:lncRNA from 1 species